rnacentral:snoRNA from 1 species
UGGAAAUGAUGAAAUAGAGAUAACUGGGUGUUGAAUAUUGUAUGAUUGGAAAUUUUUAAUAUGUAAGUUAAGUAAUUAGUAAAAAUUUAAUACUUAAAGCUACUUAACAGAGAGAGAGAGAGAGAGUGAGUGUGUGUGUGUGUGUGUGUGUGUGUGUGUGUAGGCUAUGAAAAGGGGGCACUGACUGGUGAUGCUGAUAUUGGAGUGCAUCUGAGGCUGUUGUAGAAAUACAUGGGUUGUUGAUUACAACAUUGCCAAUGAUUAUAACCCAAGAACAGCUCACCUGAGUAGCCUAGCACCCUAAAAUCUCUAACAGGUUCAUUAAAUAUGGUCCUGUGAUCUGAUCCAG